AAACUUUCAACAACGGAUCUCUUGGCUCUGGCAUCGAUGAAGAACGCAGCAAAAUGCGAUAAGUAAUGUGAAUUGCAGAAUUCAGCGAAUCAUCGAAUCUUUGAACGCACAUUGCGCCCCUCGGUAUUCCGAGGGGCAUGCCUGUCCGAGCGUCAUU
rnacentral:rRNA from 1 species